rnacentral:rRNA from 1 species
GACGAACGCUGGCGGCGUGCUUAACACAUGCAAGUCGAACGGAAAGGCCCUGCUUUUGUGGGGUGCUCGAGUGGCGAACGGGUGAGUAACACGUGAGUAACCUGCCCUUGACUUUGGGAUAACUUCAGGAAACUGGGGCUAAUACCGGAUAGGAGCUCCUGCUGCAUGGUGGGGGUUGGAAAGUUUCGGCGGUUGGGGAUGGACUCGCGGCUUAUCAGCUUGUUGGUGGGGUAGUGGCUUACCAAGGCUUUGACGGGUAGCCGGCCUGAGAGGGUGACCGGCCACAUUGGGACUGAGAUACGGCCCAGACUCCUACGGGAGGCAGCAGUGGGGAAUAUUGCACAAUGGGCGGAAGCCCGAUGCAGCAACGCCGCGCGCGGGAUGACGGCCUUCGGGUUGUAAACCGCUUUCGCCUGUGACGAAGCGUGAGUGACGGUAAUGGGUAAAGAAGCACCGGCUAACUACGUG